UUGCAACACCACAACACCUCCAAGUCCAAAUUUCACUACCAACCUUACAUGCAAUGAAUAGAAUCAACUCAUCUUCAUAACCUUAACCCUCUUAUUUAAGUUCAUUUUCAAUUUGUUGGUGAAAUCUUAUCAUUACAAUCCCAAAUUCCUCUAGCCAAAGAUCUGAAAUCUUGUAGCUUUUACUUGUUGGGUAUGAAUGCUCUUGCUUGGAUCAAUUGUGAUGUUUUGAGGAAUUCUCAUUUGAAGUGAGCAGAAAGAAGCAUACUACAUUCUCACUAGUCAAGAUCUAUUCAUAGUAAGUGCUUCCUUUUUCCACUCUUAAAACCUGUUAGAUAAAUAUUUACUUUGCUCCUUAAAAAAAUUUCACCUGUAUCAAUUUAAUUCAUGAAAAAGUAACAACUGAAAUACUCAAUCUAGUACCUAAAUAUUGUAAUUGUGGGUCAUUAUAGUCCUUGUUAGGGGGUAAAAUUGGUAAAUAUAAAAAAGUUUUUUAUUUUAAGUUUUUCAAUUUUUCAUCACACUGGUAAACACACAAUUUAAAUAUUUUAUUUGGUGUCAUGUCUUGAUAUGAUGAUUUUAUUUGAGAAUUGACGUUUUGUUUUGUUUCUGAAAUUCAUUAUUGAUUUAUUAAAUUUUAACAAUUAGUAAGUCACUUAAUUAAGUUAUGAAAACUUCAGUCAAAGGUAUGUUUGAGCAUUAUAGAUCAUUACUUCUUAUAAUUUAGUAAGUUGCCCAGAUCUAUUCAUAGUAAAUUGUUCCUUUUUAAUUUCCACUAUUAAAACAUGUUACAUAAAAUCAUUUGGUCUUUAAACGUAUGUACCAAUUUGAUUUU